rnacentral:rRNA from 1 species
GACGAACGCUGGCGGCGUGCUUAACACAUGCAAGUCGAACGGAAAGGCCCUGCUUUUGUGGGGUGCUCGAGUGGCGAACGGGUGAGUAACACGUGAGUAACCUGUCCUUGACUUUGGGAUAACUUCAGGAAACUGGGGCUAAUACCGGAUAGGAGCUCCUGCUGCAUGGUGGGGGUUGGAAAGAUUCGGCGGUUGGGGAUGGACUCGCGGCUUAUCAGCUUGUUUGUGGGGUAGUGGCUUACCAAGGCUUUGACGGGUAGCCGGCCUGGGAGGGUGACCGGCCACAUUGGGACUGAGAUACGGCCCAGACUCCUACGGGAGGCAGCAGUGGGGAAUAUUGCACAAUGGGCGGACGCCUGAUGCAGCAACGCCGCGUGCGGGAUAACGGCCUUCGGGUUGUAAACCGCUUUCGCCUGUGACGAAGCGUGAGUGACGGUAAUGGGUAAAGAAGCACCGGCUAACUACGUG